AGCAGCCACGGUAAUUCCAGCUCCAAUAGCGUAUAUUAAAGUUGUUGCAGUUAAAAAGCUCGUAGUUGAAUUUCGGGGUUCUACCGUUGGUCGGGCUUUGUCUGUACUGGCGUGUAGAAUUUCUACCUUCUGGGGAACCAUCAUGUUAUUUAUUUAACGUGGUGGGAAACCAGGACCUUUACCUUGAAAAAAUUAGAGUGUUCAAAGCAGGCUUAUGUCUGAAUACAUUAGCAUGGAAUAAUAAAAUAGGACGGUGGUCCUGUUUUGUUGGUUUCUGAAUCACCGUAAUGAUCAAUAGGGAUAGUUGGGGGCAUUAGUAUUCAAUUGUCAGAGGUGAAAUUCUUGGAUUUAG
rnacentral:rRNA from 1 species